rnacentral:rRNA from 1 species
CGGGACACGUGGUAUCCUGUCUGAAUAUGGGGGGACCAUCCUCCAAGGCUAAAUACUCCUGACUGACCGAUAGUGAACCAGUACCGUGAGGGAAAGGCGAAAAGAACCCCGGCGAGGGGAGUGAAAAAGAACCUGAAACCGUGUACGUACAAGCAGUGGGAGCCUCUUAAUGGGGUGACUGCGUACCUUUUGUAUAAUGGGUCAGCGACUUAUAUUCUGUAGCAAGGUUAACCGAAUAGGGGAGCCGAAGGGAAACCGAGUCUUAACUGGGCGUUAAGUUGCAGGGUAUAGACCCGAAACCCGGUGAUCUAGCCAUGGGCAGGUUGAAGGUUGGGUAACACUAACUGGAGGACCGAACCGACUAAUGUUGAAAAAUUAGCGGAUGACUUGUGGCUGGGGGUGAAAGGCCAAUCAAACCGGGAGAUAGCUGGUUCUCCCCGAAAGCUAUUUAGGUAGCGCCUCGUGAAUUCAUCUCCGGGGGUAGAGCACUGUUUCGGCAAGGGGGUCAUCCCGACUUACCAACCCGAUGCAAACUGCGAAUACCGGAGAAUGUUAUCACGGGAGACACACGGCGGGUGCUAACGUCCGUCGUGAAGAGGGAAACAACCCAGACCGCCAGCUAAGGUCCCAAAGUCAUGGUUAAGUGGGAAACGAUGUGGGAAGGCCCAGACAGCCAGGAUGUUGGCUUAGAAGCAGCCAUCAUUUAAAGAAAGCGUAAUAGCUCACUGGUCGAGUCGGCCUGCGCGGAAGAUGUAACGGGGCUAAACCAUGCACCGAAGCUGCGGCAGCGACACUAUGUGUUGUUGGGUAGGGGAGCGUUCUGUAAGCCUGUGAAGGUGGCCUGUGAGGGUUGCUGGAGGUAUCAGAAGUGCGAAUGCUGACAUAAGUAACGAUAAAGCGGGUGAAAAGCCCGCUCGCCGGAAGACCAAGGGUUCCUGUCCAACGUUAAUCGGGGCAGGGUGAGUCGACCCCUAAGGCGAGGCCGAAAGGCGUAGUCGAUGGGAAACAGGUUAAUAUUCCUGUACUUGGUGUUACUGCGAAGGGGGGACGGAGAAGGCUAUGUUGGCCGGGCGACGGUUGUCCCGGUUUAAGCGUGUAGGCUGGU